AUUGAACGCUGGCGGCAGGCUUAACACAUGCAAGUCGAGCGGAGUGAUGGUGCUUGCACUAUCACUUAGCGGCGGACGGGUGAGUAAUGCUUAGGAAUCUGCCUAUUAGUGGGGGACAACAUCUCGAAAGGGAUGCUAAUACCGCAUACGUCCUACGGGAGAAAGCAGGGGAUCACUUGUGACCUUGCGCUAAUAGAUGAGCCUAAGUCGGAUUAGCUAGUUGGUGGGGUAAAGGCCUACCAAGGCGACGAUCUGUAGCGGGUCUGAGAGGAUGAUCCGCCCCACUGGGACUGAGCCACGGCCCAGACUCCUACGGGAGGGAGAAGUGGGGAAUAUUGGACAAUGGGGGGAACCCUGAUCCAGCCAUGCCGCGUGUGUGAAGAAGGCCUUAUGGUUGUAAAGCACUUUAAGCGAGGAGGAGGCUCUUUUGGUUAAUACCCAAGAUGAGUGGACGUUACUCGCAGAAUAAGCACCGGCUAACUCUGUGCCAGCCGCCGCCGUAA
rnacentral:rRNA from 1 species